rnacentral:rRNA from 1 species
GCGGACGGGUGAGUAACACGUGGGUAACCUGCCCUUAAGUGGGGGAUAACAUUUGGAAACAGAUGCUAAUACCGCAUAAAUCCAAGAACCGCAUGGUUCUUGGCUGAAAGAUGGCGUAAGCUAUCGCUUUUGGAUGGACCCGCGGCGUAUUAGCUAGUUGGUGAGGUAACGGCUCACCAAGGCAAUGAUACGUAGCCGAACUGAGAGGUUGAUCGGCCACAUUGGGACUGAGACACGGCCCAAACUCCUACGGGAGGCAGCAGUAGGGAAUCUUCCACAAUGGACGCAAGUCUGAUGGAGCAACGCCGCGUGAGUGAAGAAGGCUUUCGGGUCGUAAAACUCUGUUGUUGGAGAAGAAUGGUCGGCAGAGUAACUGUUGUCGGCGUGACGGUAUCCAACCAGAAAGCCACGGCUAACUACGUGCCAGCAGCCGCGGUAAUACGUAGGUGGCAAGCGUUAUCCGGAUUUAUUGGGCGUAAAGCGAGCGCAGGCGGUUUUUUAAGUCUGAUGUGAAAGCCCUCGGCUUAACCGAGGAAGUGCAUCGGAAACUGGGAAACUUGAGUGCAGAAGAGGACAGUGGAACUCCAUGUGUAGCGGUGAAAUGCGUAGAUAUAUGGAAGAACACCAGUGGCGAAGGCGGCUGUCUGGUCUGUAACUGACGCUGAGGCUCGAAAGCAUGGGUAGCGAACAGGAUUAGAUACCCUGGUAGUCCAUGCCGUAAACGAUGAAUGCUAGGUGUUGGAAGGUUUCCGCCCUUCAGUGCGCAGCUAACGCAUUAAGCAUUCCGCCUGGGGAGUACGACCGCAAGGUUGAAACUCAAAGGAAUUGACGGGGGCCGCCAAAG